GAGAGAGAGAGAGGUAAAAUAGCGGGACACUUCCUAGUAAACUCGUGUCUUGUGUUCAUUUUAUUACCAAAAAAAAAAUUGUGCAUAAUUUUGAUCGAUUUUCUAAUCUGGCAACAUUCGAUAACGUCAUCAGUUUAGAGAAGGAUAGCAUUGUUGAAUAAAAAUUUAAUUGGAAUUGUGUAUGUGAUGUGUCUGUUGGUGCACUAGCCGGAUUUUUCUCUAGCCAGCUAACGUCAACUGUCAGCGCCGACACCGCGUGCGUGCGCGUGAAGCAGUGAAGCCAAGCCAGCCGACUCCAGAGUCCAGACUCGACAGAAAACGCAGUUAGAGGAAACUUCCACCCAAGCAGACGUUGAGGCCCAGAUUUCCCUGCCAAGCACUCUUAAGACUCAUCAUGCUCGGAGAGUCCAUUCUGGGGGCAAAUAGGUGGAUGCUUUCCAUCGAGGGCAGCGUUCUCCAACCAAAUCCAACUGAGUGACCGUUCCGAAUUCACUUCGGCUCUGGCUGUGCUUUUUGCAUCAUACUAUAUAUUUAACAUGGAAUAUCCUGCGGAGGCAGCCACUACAUUAGAAUUUAUCCAGAGGGUAGAAGACUCCAUCCCAGGAAAUUGACUAAUUCAGGCCCGUUUCUGAAGAAAAAUACAGUUCUGGGAGAAAAACAACAUUCGGGGACCAAAUUCUACUGUUUGAAAUCCUGCUGUUUUUAAAUAAUUUAAUUUGCCUUUUAUACAUUCUAAUUUUAACCGAACAUUUUAAUACAUUUGAACAGGAUUGAUUUGUAUGUUCAGAAAAGUGUUGUUGUAUACAAAACGAAAUGAAAUGUUAACAGAAAAAUGUUUACCUAUUGAAGAUUUUUUUUUUGCUAUGCUAUUUUUAUUUUAUGAAUUUAGAAAUUAAAAGUGUGAAAAGUUAUAAAUAAAUGG